rnacentral:tRNA from 7 species
ACACAUGUGGUGUAGCGGUAAGUACUCUUGGCCUUUGCUUGAGAGGUCACAGGUUCAAAUCCCAAGACAUGUGUA